rnacentral:lncRNA from 1 species
AACGGCCGUGUUUUCUUUUUGAUGUCCUUUGCAGUGGAUCACAGCUACCUGCUGAAAACUCCUGGAGGGCAGAGCCAUGCCUGUCAUUUUCAUCAUUGCAUUACCACCACCCAGCACAGUGCCUGGUACAAAAGAGUUGCUCAAUAAAUAAAUCAGGAUGAAUGGAUAAAUACAUGGAUAGGCACUUUGAACUACAGAUGAGCUUAAAUACUUUGUGUUUUUCUUAGUCAAACAUGUGCAAUUAAGCAUGUGAUAAAUUAUACGAUGACCAAAACUCCUGGAGAGCAGAGCUGUGCCUGCCAUUUUCAUCACUGCAUUACCACCACCCAGCACAGUGCCUGGCACAAAAGAGUUGUUCAAUAAAUAAAUCAGGAUGAAUGGAUAAAUACACAGAUAGGCACUUUGAACUACAGAUGAGCUUAAAUACU